GCCCCGCCCCCUCCCCUCAGGACCCGGGGACCGGCACUUCCUCUCUCCGGGCUGAGGGGGCAGCGGAGCAGAGGGGAGCCGAGUUGGGGCGCGGAGGGUGCUGGUCCCGGCCAGGAGAGCCGGGGCGCGGGGGACACCGUACUUGGCGGAGCUCUGGCGGGGAGAGGGCGGGCAGAGUGUACUCUGUGGAGCUCACGUCGUGCCAGCCCCCGGACACUGCGAGCAAGGGAAUUCCUGGGGAUGGAAUAUGCGGGAGAGUUCCCUCUGCAGGACCGGAAGGCCACCGGGAGAGAUGCCCUGUGUGCCUCAGCUUACGGGGUGGGGCUGGGGGUGAGGCUCAGAAGUCCGCUUUGGCCAGCCUUUCUUCUUGCAGGAGUCUGAUAAGUAGUGAGGUUUUGUCAUGGAAUCUAUCCUAUCCUGUACGCCAAGCACUAAUCUGACACACGUUGUUACCUCAUCGACAGUAAGAAACAGCUAUGAUUAGAAGGAAGGGAGGAGGGCCCCGUUCUUUCUUCCCUCCAGAAUUCUAAGUAAUGUACAUUUGCCACAAACAGCAACAUAGUCAUGGGACAUUUCUGUGAUCUAACAAUUCCCUGUGUGUCUAUGUUGUCUGCCUCCAGCCUCCAGCAGCUUCGGAUCCAUUUUCUGCCCCUGUGGUUUAAACCCUGCCCCAUGUGGCACGUGAAUGGAAUCAUAACAAGGUUUUCCUAACAGCCUCAUACAGCCAACCUGGACCCACCCGCCCUCUGUUAGUUCAUUCUCACCAUGUACUUUGCCUGGUUUUUCCAGAGUGUGGAACAUUGCCUGAAAAUAAGUUAUUUUCACUAUCUGCUUGAUUUCUGUCUUUCAUUUGAGCUUUCACUCAUCCUAGGAAGUAAGACAAGGAUUUUGCCUUUCUGCCACUGAGUCUCUGAGGUUCAUGAAGCAACCAAAGUGUUCAGUAAAUGUUUGUUUGAGUGAAGUGUAAUGCAAAUAAAGAGAUUGGAGAUUCCUGGGGCCCUCUCCGUACUCAGACAGGCCUCUUAAGGAGAGAUUAUUUUCCUUUCAAAAUGUGUUAAUUGGAGGAUCUGUCCAUUGCCAAAGUAGUUGGCUCUCUGAGAGUAAUACAAUGAGAAGACAUCAGGAUGAUGAAUUGUUUCUUUAAAUUCACCAGGAUGGUGAGGAUACCCGGAGCAGAGCUGGCCUGAGGGGCUUAUGGCAAUGCUGGCGGAUGUUUCUGUUGUCAGCACUGGGGUGGAGAGGACAGCUACCGGGCUCUGCUGAAGAUCACAGACUGCACAGAAGAUUCUCCAGGGCAGAGAAUUCUCAGCAGGGCCACCAGCCAGAAGCCCUGGGUGAACGCGUAGCCAGGCUUGAAGUAGGGCUGCAUUUGGACCUGCUAUUAUUAUUACUAAUUAUUAUUUCCCCCAUUCAUGUGCAUGCGUGUGUGCACACGUGCAGAUGCUGGAGUACAGCAGAAGUCCUGGACUGCACCCAGAGCUGGACUUGUAGGCAGUUGUGAGCUGCCUGAUGUGAGUACUGGGAACUGAACUCUCAUUCUCUGGAGGAGGAUGCGUGCUUCUAAUGGCAGAACAUGUUAUUUUAGAAGUGAGCCCUCCGGGCAAAUGCUCUCACCCAGGCUGAGAGGGAAGCUGUGCAUUAAGUCUGAAGUCAGACGUUAUGUUUGAAGCUCAGCAUGACCCUUAGCCAUGUGCCUCUGAGGAUGUCACUUGCCUUUUCUAUACCUCUCUGUCUAUGAAAGGGAUUAAUUAGAGAACUGCCUCGGGGAGUUGCCAGGGUCCAAUGUGGAACACCAUGCAAAGCAGACCACACUGUGGUAGAAUGCAGUAAAUGUUCAAUAAAUGUCAUUGAUUUUUGUUGUUUCUGAUGCCAAAAGGAUCUUCCCAUGGAAUAUAAUGAAGGAACUGGGAAUAGUUUCCAUGAGGGGAGAGAAAUGGAAAAUAUUGCUUGUAUAAGGUAUAUACUGACAUUAACUUCUCAUAAUAAUGGGUAACUACAUAGAAUUAAAAUUCAAAUAAA